CUCCUCGCCGUCGCUCGCUCCCGCGCCUGGCCGCUUCCGCUACACGCGCUGAAGCCGCCCCAAGCCCCGGCGCCUCUCAUCGCUCUCUUUCUCUUCCCACUACCGCCUUAGCCUCCCGGAAGACUCGGCGCUGCUUCUCGGGAGCCGGCGCGGCCUGGGCUCGCUGUCCCGGCCUCUUUGUUUUGCCGCGCCGCCCUCCUUCACCUUAGCUCACCCCCACCUUAGCCAACUCGGAAGCCCCGCGCCGCUUCUGAUGAGCCGGCGCGACCUGGGCUCUCUGUCCCUGGCCUUUUAGUUUUACUCCGCCGCCCUCUAUCACCUCAUUUAACCCGGAAGCCCCGACCUUCCGUAUACGGUGGCGCUUCCCUCGCGGCGGAUCCCUCUCUCUCCGGCAUCGGGGCCAGUUCGCUCUUCAGCCUGCCUGCACUGGCCGCGUGGCCUACUCGCGUUCCUCAUUCAGAAACAGGAGCGGCCACGUGCACUGCCGCAUCCACUUCCCUUAUUCUGCGGACGUUGCCCUACACAAGCACAAUCAUUAUCAUUAUUCAUUAUUAUCAUUAAAGUACUGAGUGAAUAGUAAAUAGCAAGACCUGCUUAGGCUUAUAAUAAUUAUCACUAAUCAUUAUUAUCAUUAAAGUGCAGAGUGAACAGUAAAUAGCAAGACCUGCAUAGGCUUAUAAUAAUUAUCAUUAAUCAUUAUUAUCAUUAAAGGGCAGAGUGAACAGUAAAUAGCAAGACCUGCAUAGGCUUUUAUUAAAUAAGCCCGAUUGCUUGCCUGCCUUUACAAAGGCUUGGGGGCUCGAGUUGGGGGCUUGGGGGCGGACUCAUUCGGCGGGACGCUGCAUUCGCGCCUCGGAGGGACCCCCCCGCGAUCUGGUGUAGUGGCGCCGCGGAGGCUGCGUUAGGUCCGUGUGUCCGGCGGGGCGGCUAGCAAGCUAGCCCCACGGACUACGUUAGCUUGCAGGCCACUGGCCUCGCGCCUAUUCUGCCUCCUCCGCGUGGCCCGUAUUGCCGCGAGGGAUCACCUUGGUUGCCUCCUCGCGGUGGACGGGGCCUGCCCUCGCUAAGGUCGUGGGGGUGGGGGCGCUGGUGUAAGUGGAGGCGCACGCUGGUUACUAGCUGGCCGCGUGCUCUCCCUGCCAGGCCUACACAUCCUCUCUUGGGGCUGCGGUGUGUGCGCCUCGCCGUGUGGGUCCAUAUCCCCCAGUGUCUGCUCAGGGGGCCCCCUGGCCCAGUAUUAGGCAUAGAUAACUUCAGCUAUUAGUGGUAUAGAAUUUAAACUCAACCACCGGGGGCUGAGCCCUUGCUCCAGGUAGCACUCCCCUCGCUUCCCUUUUGUGGAAUCAAGUUUAUACUAGCACCAUGCCUCCCAAAAAAGGCUUGGGUGGAGCCAAAGGGAAGGGAAAAGCCCCCCGUACACAGGCAAAACGGGUAAGGCACCGUGAUGAUUCCCCUGACGAGGAGUUAGAUCCUCAAGUGGCGGCCUUAAUUGCAAAAGUGCAAGCCCUAGAGAGAAGCAGGGGGGUGGCGGUCUCCGCACCAGCUGUUAACCCUCAAACAACGGGGGUUAGGCAGCGUCAUACUAGGCGUCAAACACAGGCUGAUUUACUUCAAUCACUCGCUGCUAGGAUUGAAGCCAUCGAGCCACAGCGGCCACAACUCACGGAGCAGUCGCCGCUCCCUGACCAGGCAGGCACAUGCGGCAUCAACGAGGAUGUGCCUUCAGGCCCGCAAACGCAAACGGCUUCGGACGGGAUACAGCCUGCAGCUCCCAUCCCAACUGCGCCAAAUGCAGGUAUGUUACCAGGAAUGCCUAUGAACCCGUGGGGCUGGUUUCCUUGGUUACAGGGCAUGUCAUGGCCACACAUUCAAAUGCCACCUGUACCAACGCCUACCAGGUCACAGCCACAUGCCCCAGCCGCUCAUCUCCCCUCGGAAUCCAUGGCACCAGGGAUGUGGGCCACCAGCUCCGCCGUGGCCAACAAUGGGGGGGCGGGGCCCACGGCAGUACAGCCUUCAUCCGUGAUUAUAGGGGGGGGAACCGUUCAGGCAACUAGCACCGAUUCAGCGGCUACAAGCCCAUCGGCUGUGGCCACCGCCUGCGCUACGGUCUGGCAGGGCCCAGCUGGCGGUGUUUCAACCAUAGAUAGCAAUAAUACAUCAAAUUCAGAUCCAUUCUCGGGGGCAGAGCACAACGUUCUUCCAAAGGGCUGUGCUUCUACCCCUUUGGGCUACCACUUACUGCCAGCAACACGUGACAAAAUUUUAAGAGGCGAAUACGUAGACAUCUUUUCUUUGCUGUAUCGAGAAUUAGAGAGCUGUGAAAGGGAGAAAAUGUCGGAGAAGGAACUCGAGCAACUCAGGAGGCGCAAAGCCGCUCGUACAUGGGCCAAUUGGCUGCCUGGCUUCCUUAUUUACAUGGGCGUGCUACAGCAGCGCUUUCCCACAAAAGCCUUCGUUCUGACGAAAUACCUCGAUAUGAUUUAUCGAUCGUAUAUGGAGUACGAAGGUGGCGCCUGGUUGGCUUAUGAUGAGGCAUUUCGCAAAAAGGCAGCCUUCGAUCAUUCACUACACUGGGACAUCAGGGAUCACGAUCUAUGGCUGCAAUUUAUGACCCCAGCCAGACCGGUUUCAGGUGAUAGGGCCGACAGUGGACACGUACUAGUGAAACAUCAACCCACCACCACUAAAGGGAGCGCGGGGCGGGGGGUUCAAUCACGCCCGCCUUGCUGGGAGUACAAUUCUAAAGGAAUGUGCUUUCGCUCCACAUGUAAGUACAAACAUGACUGUCUUGCAUGUGGUGGCGCACACCCCUCAUCCAAUUGCCCCAAGGCAAAGUCAAACAAAAAUCACUUUAAGGACGGACAGGGGGGGAAGCGGCACAGCAGUCAGCAACAGCAGCCUCCUCCUAAAGGGCCCCAGCCCAGUUAGACUGGGCCCCCUCUCAUACUUACUUUCCAGCUAUCCCAACAAACAGGACGCUGAACUGCUGAGAUUGGGCUUCACAUACGGUUUCCGCAUCCCCUUUACGGGGACCCGGACCCCCUCAUUUGCCAGUAAUCAUAAUUCUGUGAACAGUAUGGAAGCCCUGGUGAAAGUUAAAAUACAGAAGGAAUUGGCGGCUGGCAGGGUCUCGGGGCCCCACUUGGCCCCCCCGUUACCUAACUUAAGAGUGUCGCCUUUAGGAAUAGUGCCUAAAAAGAACCCGGGCGACUACAGACUAAUACAUAACCUCUCAUUUCCCAAAGGUGACUCGGUUAAUGAUUGUAUCCCUGAUCAGUUGUGUUCCGUGCGUUACGCAUCAUUCGACUCAGCGAUCAGGAUGGUGUGCACGUAUGGUCUUAGAGCACUAAUGGGAAAAUGCGAUAUUAAGUCGGCCUUCCGCAUCCUGCCUAUUCAUCCCGAUGACUUUAAUCUGCUAGGUUUUCAUUUCCAGGGCCAUUUUUAGGUAGAUAAAAAUCUACCAAGGGGAUGCUCGGUCUCGUGCGCGCUGUUCGAGAAAUUCAGCAUGUUUCUCAUUUGGAUGAUUUUUUGUUCGUCGGCCCAUCCCAUACGAACCUGUGUUCACAUACUAUGAAAGAGUUUGCUAGCCUUGCUGAAUAUUUGGGGGUUCCCUUAGCGCAGGAAAAAACAGAAGGGCCCACUACGGUCAUAACAUUCCUGGGAAUCGAACUCGAUUCCAACAGCCAAUGUUGCAGAUUGCCAGUCGACAAACUACACACCCUACGCCAUUUGCUGCACCAAAUUUCACAAGCAAACAAGGUUACACUAAGACAGUUGCAGGAAUUGGUCGGCCACCUUAACUUCGCAUGCAGAGUUGUUGCACCUGGCAGAGCGUUCACCCGCCGAUUGUGCGAUGCCAUGAUGGGCCUUAAACGCCCCUCUCACAGGGUCCGAGUGACGGACGCCAUGCGCGAGGAUCUGCACAUGUGGCUGGCAUUUUUAUCCAAAUUCAAUGGGGUCUCCUUUUGGAGACAAGACUUGCUAAUAGAAGCAGAAAUGCAGAUUCAUUCAGACGCAUCCGGCUCCUUGGGCUUCGGUGUCAUUUGGGGGGACAGAUGGUGUGCGGAGAAAUGGCCAACUGAAUGGCAGCAGGCAAACAUUUCCACUGACUUGACAUUUCUAGAAUUUUUCCCAAUCUACGUAGCAGCUCACAUCUGGCAAAAGGAGUUGUCAAAUUCAGUUGUCCAUUUCUGGUGCGACAACCAAGCAACUGUGCAUGUCAUUAAUACACUAACAUCACGUAACCCCCGCGUCAUGAACCUUGUUCGCGCUUUCACCCUCCAUUGCCUGCUUCAUAACAUUUUAUUCCGCGCACGGCACAUACCCGGCUUAGAUAACUCUAUAGCUGACGCUUUAUCGCGUCAGCAGGUUGGGUGCUUUCGAGACCUGGCACCUUGGGCGCGUCAGCAGCCGGAACCCAUGACCCCAUCCCUAUGGGCCAUUGGCAACUUGAAAUUGAGCGCGCUGUAUGGCAAUCGAUAGCACCAAGCACGAGAACAUCAUACCAGCGCGCAGAUCGCAGGAGGAGGUGUGCGCCUGUGCGCAUUGUCAUAUGCGGGCACAGCAUGGUCUUUUGGGCCGGCAGAAGGGCUGCGAACUCUUCUAUUGGAACCCAGCUGGGCUUCAGCCAAUUGGCCAACAUCCAAUGGCUUGGAAGACGCGGGAUGCGGUGGGAACGGCUCCUUCCCACGUUAUUUCAAGCUGCGGCCUCGCCACCACAGGUCCUCAUCAUUCAUCUUGGAGGAAACGACCUGGGGUUUCUUAAGGGCAAGGCUUUAAUACUGCAAGCAAUUGCCGACUUCAAAGUUAUUCGGCAGCGUUGGCCUGGCAUAGUAAUUACCUGGUCCUGCAUCCUGCCCAGGUUUGCGUGGCGAUCCAGCGAGAUCAAGCCACUGGAGAGGGCGCGUCGCCGUGUCAAUGGCGAAAUCUUCCGCGAUCUGAUUAAACAUGGGGAUGUCAGCAUCAGACACCCGUUGAUUACACUGGCCCGGAGGGAGCUAUAUCGACAGGACGGCGUACACCUGUCUGACAUUGGUAACGACUUAAUUUUGCAUGAUCUGCAAAGGGGACUUAAGGGCGUCCUAGGGCGAUGGGGGGGGAGCGACUAAGCAAGUGGCUUGCCGCCCCCUGUGGCAGGUAGAGAAGGCAUCCAGAGGGAAUAUAAUGGCGAGAUUCCAAGGCACUGUUUCAGUGAUUGGUGACUCCCGAGGGCUCCCGGUGUUGAGCCCUGUGGCCAGGCCGGGGGAUAAGGACCACCUUUGAGGCCGACCUCGCUCACCCACCUUGAGCCCGCGAGGGCAGGGGUUGGGGGUGACAAGGGAAGGUCUCCCUACCCCUGGUUGGGGAUGGACAGCGGGGUGGCGAAACCGAGCGCCACCUGCUGGACCAGGAAAGCUCGCCCGUUCACUUAGGAAGGCCUGCACGCAGGCCUGGCUGGAUGCCUGAGGAGAACCCCCUUUGCAGAUCUUGAAUAAAUGUGGCCCAGUUUAACUCCAUCACUUGUGUCGUCUCUUAUUUCUUGCGUCCGUCCCACAAGGCACAUUCUGCCAUGCCCGGCCAAGCCUGGGCAUGGGGAGGGUUUUGUGGGCGGGGCAAGACUGAGACGUGGCCACCCUGCAUUGGCAGGGCCUCUGGGGACUGGGAGGGGUUGGGCACCUUUAUCAAGGGACGCUUGACCCCUCCAAGCCCUCUUGCCCUCGUGCUCCGCGGCUCCCUCCCUCCCUCCCUGUAGACAGUGUGUUCUUUGGGUCGCCUUUAUGGGGCCGAGUAGGAAUUUUUUGCUCCCGCCCUGAAUUGGACGUGAGUUGUUUCGCCUACUCCACACUGUAAGACAUCGGGGGAGCUUAACUAGGUCAAUUUGGCUGCUAGCGAUUUGGUCACCUAGUUCAAGGCAGGUAGAGAAGGCAUCCAGAGGGAAUAUAAUGGCGAGAUUCCAAGGCACUGUUUCAGUGAUUGGUGACUCCCGAGGGCUCCCGGUGUUGAGCCCUGUGGCCAGGCCGGGGGAUAAGGACCACCUUUGAGGCCGACCUCGCUCACCCACCUUGAGCCCGCGAGGGCAGGGGUUGGGGGUGACAAGGGAAGGUCUCCCUACCCCUGGUUGGGGAUGGACAGCGGGGUGGCGAAACCGAGCGCCACCUGCUGGACCAGGAAAGCUCGCCCGUUCACUUAGGAAGGCCUGCACGCAGGCCUGGCUGGAUGCCUGAGGAGAACCCCCUUUGCAGAUCUUGAAUAAAUGUGGCCCAGUUUAACUCCA